GUGCCAUCCCAUGGGGUGGUGGGAUGAGCCCUGCCGGGGAGGGUUCCCUCUCCGUUUGGGGUAUGGGGCCCACAGCGAGCCCUGGGCAGCAGUGGGCUCCUGGGCCGGGUAACAGCAGCGCUGUCCUCCCAAGGGAGGGCGAAGGGAGCGUCGCAGCCAGCCAGGGCCCCAGCACGGCGCGGCAGCGCUGGCCCGGCAACAUGUCCACCACGAGUCCCGCCAGGCAGCUGUCCACCUCCAGCUCCCUCACCACCAUCUGCCCCUACGGAGACCCUGCCGCCUUCGCCGCCGAGAACACCGAAGUGGAUAUUUUGGGCAUCAACGGGGUGCUGUACAAGGGCAGACUGUGCUCAGGGACCACCAACACGACUGUCGCCCUGGAAAGGGACUUCCCAGGAAUGAAGACCUUCCAGCUUCCUUCCCAGCAGGCUGCGGAGAAGAUGCGCCCCGCGAAGUACGGCAGCCGUUACGUGUCCCCGUACUCAUGCGCUGCCAUGUGGGCGAAGGCCCCGACCUCGGGAGGCCGGCGGCAGGAUAUCGCAGGUGGCGGCAGCGUGGCAGGCAUCUGAGCUGGCUGGGGAGGGCCACAGCUCGGCCCACCAGCCCCAUCGCUGCCAUCACGAGUGGAAGUAGCACGGGGGGACCAGGACCGGCAAGGCUGCGCUGCUGGGGAGAGGGAUCUGCAUGGGGAGAGGUGGCCCUGCCUGGCCUCGGGGAUCGGGAAGUGGGGGUGAUGCUGCCGGGGCCUCUCCUUCCCCUUGGCGCAGGCUGUGCCUCGGAGACCUCCCGCGCAGCCGCUCGUUGCAGCGGGGCGACUCCGCGGGCCAUAAAGAUGUUCCCUGUUCAGCUGCCUCCYGUGUGUGGUCCCUGGGUUCGCCGGGCUGCACGGGGCGUCCUCGGACACUUGGCCUGGGCGAGCUGAGCUACACUGGGAGCGACCAGCGCCCAAACCGCCGCAUCCCAAACAGGGCAGCGAAGCCACGCGAUGCACGCAGCCCAGCUGCGGUGCAGGGGACAGCGCGCGGAGGCUGGCAGGGCACAGCGACACCGGCGCUGGGGUCCCUCCAGUAGCAGCGAGGCACAUGCCGCGGGGGAACAUGUCUCCCGUGCCGCAGGAGCUGGCGGGGCAGCUGCGCGGCUCUUGCCGAGGCUUUGGCAGCCAGGCAAACGCGGGGCUGUGCCGGGAGAGGCUGGGGACAAGCUGGGCAGAUGUGGCACAUGGCUGCAGCGCGUGGCGGAGCUCGAGCAGYGGAGGUGGUGCCUGCCCUGCUGCAGCCACGGAUUCGCAUCGGCUUGGUUCCCCAAGGUGCUGCGCCGAGUCCCUGUACGCUCUCCCUGCCCAGCCAGACCUUCAGGUCUCUGGGUCUGGCCCUGGAUUUUCUGAUUCCACCACUCCCAGUGGACUUGGGACAACCACAGGCACGCUACCCCUCCACGCUAUCCUUUCUCCCGUCCAUCCAAAGCCUCCACGCUUGGUGACCUCUGGCUUCCCCUGCGUUUCAGUGGCAGGUGCCUCCCUCUGAGGACAGGGACAGGUCCCCAUGUCUCCCCAGGGCCUCCGUCCCCAGA
ensembl:lncRNA uncharacterized protein C16orf96-like